rnacentral:tRNA from 1 species
GUUCAUGUAGCUUAAUUAACUAAAGCAAAGCACUGAAAAUGCUUAGAAGGAUUUUUAAUCCCAUAAACA